GACGAACGCUGGCGGCGUGCUUAACACAUGCAAGUCGAACGGAAAGGCCCUGCUUUUGUGGGGUGCUCGAGUGGCGAACGGGUGAGUAACACGUGAGUAACCUGCCCUUGACUUUGGGAUAACUUCAGGAAACUGGGGCUAAUACCGGAUAGGAGCUCCUGCUGCAUGGUGGGGGUUGGAAAGUUUCGGCGGUUGGGGAUGGACGCGCGGCUUAUCAGCUUGUUGGUGGGGUAGGGGCUUACCAAGGCUUUGACGGGUAGCCGGCCUGAGAGGGUGACCGGCCACAUUGGGACUGAGAUACGGCCCAGACUCCUACGGGAGGCAGCAGUGGGGAAUAUUGCACAAUGGGCGGAAGCCUGAUGCAGCAACGCCGCGUGCGGGAUGACGGCCUUCGGGUUGUAAACCGCUUUCGCCUGUGACGAAGCGUGAGUGACGGUAAUGGGUAAAGAAGCACCGGCUAACUACGUG
rnacentral:rRNA from 1 species